CUGGAAGUCAAAUGUCAAAUAUCUGUCAAAAAUUAAUAAUUGCAUCCUAAAUAAAGCCCAAAUACCAAAUUUGAACCCAAUCGGACUCAUAGCAAAAAAGUACCAAUAGUCACGUGACCUGGAAGUCAAAUGUCAAAUAUCUGUGAAAAAUUAAUAAUUGCAUCCUAAAUAAACCCCAAAUACCAAAUUUCAAUCAAAUCGGACAAAUAGGAAGAAAGUUAAGGUAGUCACGUGACCUUAAAACAUAGUCAUGUCAAAUAUCUGUAAAAAUUUAUUAAUCUUAUCCGAAAUAGGUACUAGGUACCAAAUUUCAACCAAAUCGCACCAAUACCAAAAAAGUUAUGAUACUCGACUAACCUUAAAAAUCAAUAAUUUCAAAAAAAUUUUAUUUAUAACCCAAAAGCAAUCUUUAAGAAUUAUUAACAUAUAUUAAUAAUAAACUAAAUAGUAAAAACUCACAAAAUAUCUAAAUUUUUAUUUUAAAUUAAAUAGAUCAUUACGACUGACCCGUGUAUAUAUUCGAAUAAUUUUAAUAAAAUAAUCGGGCAAAUUUCAUUUCGUCUCACCCCGGUAUAAAACCACUGACUUUUCAAAAAAACGGCAUUUUUCGAAGACGUCAAAAUGUUUGCCGAAUUUUCCUGGCCGCAAUACACAAUUUCCCCAAUUGAUAUGCACAGAUUCGGAAAGCCCAUUCAUUUUCUGAUUCGGUGCUUCCUUUCCCUGAUCGUUUCCGGUUCAUUUUCAUUCAUAAUUUUACAAAAAACCCAACCAAGUCCCGGCCACCUGUCACGAGCAAAAAAUUUGUAUCCACCAUGCGUCAAAGUAUUGUUCCCACUAGCCAUUUCAUCAGAGUUUAGGUUGACACCUCCAAUUACCUGCAAAAACGCAAAAAAAUGGACUUUUUUCAUAAAAUCGCAUUUUUCGGGUACUUGUACUAUCGCUGGAACCCUGAAAUUUUAGUAUGUGUUGUAAAACAAAAUUUCGGAUCUUUUAGAUGAUGUCUGAUCUUUUCACCAUGUACAGGGACGUGGCAAAUGAAUUAAACGCGAAAAUUCGAAUUGCUCAGAACCUAUUAAUGUUGGAAGAUUGUAAUUUUACAUAAAUAAUGGGGUUAUUAAAGUAUUUAAUGCCUGAGAAUAUAAAUGGUCCAGGUGCCACUACGAAAAAGUUAUUAAAUAAAAUGUGAUUUUUGAGUCGGACCUUCAUGGGUAAAGUUCAUUAUUGC